rnacentral:rRNA from 1 species
UACAGAGGUCUCAAGCGUUGUUCGGAUUCAUUGGGCGUAAAGGGUGUGUAGGUGGCGCCGUAAGUCGGGUGUGAAAUUUCGGAGCUUAACUCCGAAACUGCAUUCGAUACUGCGGUGCUUGAGGACUGGAGAGGAGACUGGAAUUUACGGUGUAGCGGUGAAAUGCGUAGAUAUUCGCAAGAACACCAGUGGCGAAGGCGGCUCACUGGCCCGAUACUGACGCUGAGGCACGAAAGCGUGGGGAGCAAACGGG